rnacentral:misc_RNA from 1 species
UACGGAGGGUGCAGUUGUUAAUGGGAAUUACUGGGCGUAAAGCGCGCGUGGGGGGGUUGUUAAGUUGGAUGUGAAAGCCCCGGGCUCAACCUGGGAACUGCAUCCAAAACUGGCAAGCUAGAGUACGGUAGAGGGUGGUGGAAUUUCCUGUGUAGCGGUGAAAUGCGUAGAUAUAGGAAGGAACACCAGUGGCGAAGGCGACCACCUGGACUGAUACUGACACUGAGGUGCGAAAGCGUGGGGAGCAAACAGG